UAGGGAAUAUUGCACAAUGGAGGAAACUCUGAUGCAGCGACGCCGCGUGAGUGAUGAAGGACUUCGGUUCGUAAAGCUCUGUCGUAUGGGAAAAAGUUCUGAUUGUACCAUGCAAGAAAGGGUCGGCUAACUUCGUGCCAGCAGCCGCGGUAAGACGAGGGACCCUAGCGUUGUUCGGAAUCAUUGGGCGUAAAGCGGGUGUAGGUGGUCAAGAAAGUCAGAUGUGAAAGCCUGGGGCUCAACCUCAGAAGUGCAUUUGAUACUCCUUGACUUGAGUGCCGGAGAGGUUACUAGAAUUCCUGGUGUAGUGGUGAAAUACGUAGAUAUCAGGAGGAAUACCGGAGGCGAAGGCGGGUAACUGGCCGGACACUGACACUGAGACCCGAAAGCGUGGGGAUCA
rnacentral:rRNA from 1 species